GAACAGCCCACUCCUGCACUUUAGCAACCCUCCACCUUUCUAAGAGGAUGCCUCUGUCAUCUGUUAUUUUCCAGCUGACUUGCUCUAAAGUCCAUCCAGAGAGUCAAGAGGUCCAGAGGGAGGAAACACAAGCACAGGAACCAUCACAUACUAGGAAGUUUAUGGAACUCGCUUGCACCUGGAUGAAAUCUUGUACCAUUAUGUUAAUCCCUUAAUUGAAAGUCAUAACCAGAUGAGAAAAAUGAAACAGGAGACAGGCUUGGUCUGUGAAGAGCUGGAUUGGUACUCCAAAAAUUUGAAACAAGGAUGCACUCUCUCCCUAUGGAAUGAAGCUUCAGGUGCCUCCAAACCCAUGCCUGAGAAGAGUCUGCACACAAUCAUUUGAAUAUUACUGGAUGCCCCAUUCCUAACAAGAGAAAUCUUCCAUCUUUUCUGAAGAGGUGCUUUGCCAUUAUGUCCUGAAUUGGGUUGAAGUAGUUUGCCUUGUGAUUCCUGCACUGGCAUCAUAACUGCACAGAUUCUCUACUACUUACGACUCCCUAGGUAGGUGAAAACAUGCCCCAUCCCCCCAUUUUUCAUUGACUGACAGUUGGGGGAGGGCUGGGAGGAGAAAUCAACACACAAUAAUUCUAUAUGUUUUUCACAUUGCUAAUGAACUCAGAGCAUGGGAAGUGCUUAUGUCUAACUCCUAUCCAGCUUCUCCCAUUUGUGUUGCAUCCCAUGUGCAGAUUCAUCAAGCACUGGGUAUCAGCCAGACAAAAUGCUGUCCCAUACAGUACAGAUACACCAGUGGAGUUUCAGAGCAAUAGAAAGGAGCUUCUAUUCAUCACUCAUCAAUGUCUUGGUGCUGUUCGGAGACUAAACAUUCACAAAAACAGUAGGAGGUUGUUAUGUUCCUGUUAGCAACUACUGUACAGAAAAAGAAAAUUCUGAUGUGAAUUGUGCAGGCUGUCAAAC